rnacentral:rRNA from 1 species
AGGCUUAACACAUGCAAGUCGAGGGGCAGCAUGGUCUUAGCUUGCUAAGGCCGAUGGCGACCGGCGCACGGGUGAGUAACACGUAUCCAACCUGCCGUCUACUCUUGGACAGCCUUCUGAAAGGAAGAUUAAUACAAGAUGGCAUCAUGAGUCCGCAUGUUCACAUGAUUAAAGGUAUUCCGGUAGACGAUGGGGAUGCGUUCCAUUAGAUAGUAGGCGGGGUAACGGCCCACCUAGUCUUCGAUGGAUAGGGGUUCUGAGAGGAAGGUCCCCCACAUUGGAACUGAGACACGGUCCAAACUCCUACGGGAGGCAGCAGUGAGGAAUAUUGGUCAAUGGGCGAGAGCCUGAACCAGCCAAGUAGCGUGAAGGAUGACUGCCCUAUGGGUUGUAAACUUCUUUUAUAAAGGAAUAAAGUCGGGUAUGCAUACCCGUUUGCAUGUACUUUAUGAAUAAGGAUCGGCUAACUCCGUGCCAGCAGCCGCGGUAAUACGGAGGAUCCGAGCGUUAUCCGGAUUUAUUGGGUUUAAAGGGAGCGUAGAUGGAUGUUUAAGUCAGUUGUGAAAGUUUGCGGCUCAACCAUAAAAUUGCAGUUGAUACUGGAUAUCUUGAGUGCAGUUGAGGCAGGCGGAAUUCGUGGUGUAGCGGUGAAAUGCUUAGAUAUCACGAAGAACUCCGAUUGCGAAGGCAGCCUGCUAAGCUGCAACUGACAUUGAGGCUCGAAAGUGUGGGUAUCAAACAGGAUUAGAUACCCUGGUAGUCCACACGGUAAACGAUGAAUACUCGCUGUUUGCGAUAUACAGCAAGCGGCCAAGCGAAAGCGUUAAGUAUUCCACCUGGGGAGUACGCCGGCAACGGUGAAACUCAAAGGAAUUGACGGGGGCCCGCACAAGCGGAGGAACAUGUGGUUUAAUUCGAUGAUACGCGAGGAACCUUACCCGGGCUUAAAUUGCAGAUGAAUUACGGUGAAAGCCGUAAGCCGCAAGGCAUCUGUGAAGGUGCUGCAUGGUUGUCGUCAGCUCGUGCCGUGAGGUGUCGGCUUAAGUGCCAUAACGAGCGCAACCCUUGUUGUCAGUUACUAACAGGUUCCGCUGAGGACUCUGACAAGACUGCCAUCGUAAGAUGUGAGGAAGGUGGGGAUGACGUCAAAUCAGCACGGCCCUUACGUCCGGGGCUACACACGUGUUACAAUGGGGGGGUACAGAGGGCCGCUACCACGCGAGUGGAUGCCAAUCCCAAAAACCUCUCUCAGUUCGGACUGGAGUCUGCAACCCGACUCCACGAAGCUGGAUUCGCUAGUAAUCGCGCAUCAGCCACGGCGCGGUGAAUACGUUCCCGGGCCUUGUACACACCGCCCGUCAAGCCAUGGGAGCCGGGGGUACCUGAAGUGCGUAACCGCGAGGAGCGCCCUAGGGUAAAACUGGUGACUGGGGCU